rnacentral:lncRNA from 1 species
GAAGUCUCACACCGAGGGCCAUACACCAGGGGGUCAUGUGCUGGGUUGAAACUUUGAUGAACACUUGAAGAACAUGCAUGAGACUUGGCCUUUGAUCCGGUUAAAGCUUUGAAACGUGAAGAGAGUUUGUUUGUGAUCUUGGUUGGAGAGAUGAGGACCUCGGCAUAACAUGCCGAGGGGCUUGGUACCCGAGGUUUGUGUAACAUAGGAGCUCGGCAUAACAUGCUGAAGGGUUCACGCCAAGGUCUGCUUCAACACUUAGUCGUUUUGUGAACAUUUUGGUGAUCAAGGGAGCCUUGGUGUUGAAAGACCGAAGUCCUACCUCGAGGUAUAGUCCCAAGGCUUCGUAAACAUGCCUCCUCGGCAUACAUGCCGAGGUAUUCACGCCGAGGUAGGACACAACACUUAGCUUACAGUCGCAUCUCUUAAAACCCGAAUUGACCAGCUUCUCUUCUGUUCAGUGUAACUUUCAGCUCAUAACUCCAAAUGACCUAAAACCAGUUCCAUGAGAAAGAUAACUCAUUCAGCUCAAUCUUUGGUGAAAAAACUAUCGGCGUUUGGGAAGUGGAGGGCUUCCUGGAGGGCUCAUCUCCGCAGUGCAUUUACACGAUCAGAGAGAGGCGUCUAGACAUGUGUCCAUUCCGGAAACGGUAACUUCUUUCUCAUAGAUCCGAAUUGAAUGAUCUCGGACGUUCUGGAACGAGGACUCAAAUAUCUUUGAUUCUCAUGAAGGCCUUGUAAACCGAAUCGUCCUGUAAGUGCGCCGUCCUUUGCAUUCUUCAGAGCUCAUCGGGUCGGCCCAAGACGGCAGCGAGACAGGGGUUUCUUCCGAUGAGCUCAACUUUCUGCUCACGCGUCCGAAUUCCAUUAUUCCACUUGCUAUGGAACCAUGAUCCAAUCUUCUACAACUUUGAUGAAGCCCCCGACAACUGAAUCGGACCGGAAGGUUCCCCGGACAGGCGAUCAUUCAGGAGUAUCGGAUUGCUCCGGAAUGGAUGCGAGAGAG